GCCUGGGACACAGCGUGACCGCCGGCGCUGCAGGUGCUGCUCUUGUUCCUGGAUGGGAGGUCCCUCCCUCCUCGUACAUGAAAACACACACAACUUCCUGCAGUGAUGAACAGUGGAGAAAAAUAAAAUGAGUUCCGUGAAGAAUACAUUCCCGGCCUUUAACACAAACUACAUCUGGAGGAUCAGCGUGGCCAGAUGCCAGAAGACGAACAUUUCCCAAAUCCCAUGUAUGCGCCUUAGUGUGGAGAUGGAAUGCACCUGUGGAAAUUACUCUUUGGUGGAUUUAAACUUCGAUAUUC